CCCCAAGGUAGCCGGAUAAUUUCUGCUGCAGGAGGCCGAGCUGCCUCCCGGCUCCCGUCGGGAAUCUGGGAAGCGUAGACCAGGCGGGCUCGGCAGCGUAGCCACUUCCGUCCCAGGUGUGGGAGGCCGCGGCCUGCACAUCUCGCAGGAAGUUCUUUCUCUUCCAUCAAUGGCCUUGAACUCAUCCCAGAACGUUCAUAACAUAACAGACUUUGAGGCAGAACUCACAGAAUUAAACUUGUGGACUCCAGAUCCUUGCAAGGGUCAGCGCUGAGCAGCUUUUCACAGGGCUCUGACCUUCCCUAGGAAAAGGAGGAAAAAAUGACCGAGUUCCAGGUGAGUUGAUUUUCAUUUCUGCCAUUUAUAUCUUAUUUCUCAGCAGGCAGACAAC
rnacentral:lncRNA from 1 species